GAGGAGGGCCUUCCCUGCGGCGUGCACACCUUCUCCCAUGUUAAGCGCUAUUUAAGGACUUCCAAGUUGUCAGGAGAAUUCAUCUUGCUCACGGUUCUGCCACCAAAGUUGAUGCGGACCAGAAACUCGCUUAUUGCGCUGUCAUCUGAUUCUUGGUGGAAGUCUGGUCCAACUUGAAAGCCAUUAUACGCUCGCGAACGUGCGCCAGGGAAGGGUGAAAUGGCGAAGUCGCCGUCCGCCUCGGAGGAUCUUCUCUGGGCACAAUAUGUCUCGGUGCCGUCAGCAAGUUGACCUUUUGUGUAUCGCUGCCUGAUUUCCCAGUUUGCGCCGGCUCGGCCGGCAUGGUACUCCGCGAGUAAAGGCCAAUCGUCGCGACGCUAAGCAGGCGGCGGGUGACGGCCCGAAUCGCCGA